CGGGGUAUAGCUCAGCCUGGUAGAGCACCGGUUUUGGGAACCGGGGGCCGCGUGUUCGAAUCACGCUACCCCGACCA
rnacentral:tRNA from 1 species